GUAGGUGAACCUGCGGAAGGAUCAUUACAGAGUUCAUGCCCUUCGGGGUAGAUCUCCCACCCUUGUGUAUCAUUAUAGAAUGUUGCUUUGGCGGGCCGCGUGCCUAGCAUGCCUGGAUUCGCGUCCGGCGUGCCCGCCAGAGGACCCCUAAACUCUGAAUGUUAAUGUCGUCUGAGUACUAUUAAAUAGUUAAAACUUUCAACAACGGAUCUCUUGGUUCUGGCAUCGAUGAAGAACGCAGCAUCUGACU
rnacentral:misc_RNA from 1 species